UACGAAGGGGGCUAGCGUUGCUCGGAAUGACUGGGCGUAAAGGGCGCGUAGGCGGAUUGCUUUGUCGGGCGUGAAAUUCCAGGGCUUAACCUUGGGGCUGCGUUCGAGACGGGUGAUCUUGAGUUCGGAAGAGGGUCGUGGAAUCCCCAGUGUAGAGGUGAAAUUCGUAGAUAUUGGGAAGAACACCGGUGGCGAAGGCGGCGACCUGGUCCGAGACUGACGCUGAGGCGCGAAAGCGUGGGAAGCAAACAGG
rnacentral:rRNA from 1 species